rnacentral:rRNA from 1 species
GAUGAACGCUGGCGGCGUGCUUAACACAUGCAAGUCGAACGAACCUUCGGGUUAGUGGCGGACGGGUGAGUAACGCGUGAGAAUCUGCCCUCAGGAGGGGGACAACAGCUGGAAACGGCUGCUAAUACCCCAUAUGCCGCGAGGUGAAAUGAAUUUCGCCUGAGGAUGAGCUCGCGUCUGAUUAGCUAGUUGGUGUAGGUAAUGGCUCACCAAGGCAUCGAUCAGUAGCUGGUCUGAGAGGAUGAUCAGCCACACUGGGACUGAGACACGGCCCAGACUCCUACGGGAGGCAGCAGUGGGGAAUUUUCCGCAAUGGGCGAAAGCCUGACGGAGCAACGCCGCGUGAGGGAUGAAGGCCUCUGGGCUGUAAACCUCUUUUAUCAAGGAAGAAGAUCUGACGGUACUUGAUGAAUAAGCCACGGCUAAUUCCGUGCCAGCAGCCGCGGUAAUACGGGAGUGGCAAGCGUUAUCCGGAAUUAUUGGGCGUAAAGCGUCCGCAGGCGGCCCUUCAAGUCUGCUGUUAAAAAGUGGAGCUUAACUCCAUCAUGGCAGUGGAAACUGUUGGGCUUGAGUGUGGUAGGGGCAGAGGGAAUUCCCGGUGUAGCGGUGAAAUGCGUAGAUAUCGGGAAGAACACCAGUGGCGAAGGCGCUCUGCUGGGCCAUCACUGACGCUCAUGGACGAAAGCCAGGGGAGCGAAAGGGAUUAGAUACCCCUGUAGUCCUGGCCGUAAACGAUGAACACUAGGUGUCGGGGGAAUCGACCCCUCCGGUGUCGUAGCCAACGCGUUAAGUGUUCCGCCUGGGGAGUACGCACGCAAGUGUGAAACUCAAAGGAAUUGACGGGGGCCCGCACAAGCGGUGGAGUAUGUGGUUUAAUUCGAUGCAACGCGAAGAACCUUACCAGGAUUUGACAUCCUGCGAAUCUCUUGGAAACUUGAGAGUGCCUUCGGGAGCGCAGUGACAGGUGGUGCAUGGCUGUCGUCAGCUCGUGUCGUGAGAUGUUGGGUUAAGUCCCGCAACGAGCGCAACCCACGUCUUUAGUUGCCAGCAUUUAGUUGGGCACUCUAGAGAGACCGCCGGUGAUAAACCGGAGGAAGGUGUGGAUGACGUCAAGUCAUCAUGCCCCUUACAUCCUGGGCUACACACGUACUACAAUGCUACGGACAAAGGGCAGCAAGCUCGCGAGAGUUAGCAAAUCCCAUAAACCGUGGCUCAGUUCAGAACGUAGGCUGCAACUCGCCUACGUGAAGGAGGAAUCGCUAGUAAUCGCAGGUCAGCAUACUGCGGUGAAUACGUUCCCGGGCCUUGUACACACCGCCCGUCACACCAUGGAAGUUGGCCAUGCCCGAAGUCGUUACUCCAACCCUUGUGGAGGAGGACGCCGAAGGUGGGGCUGAUGACUGGGGUG